GAUGAACGCUGGCGGCGUGCCUAAUACAUGCAAGUCGAGCGAACGGACGAGAAGCUUUCUGCUCGGAGGGUAGCGGCGGACGGGUGAUGAACACGUGGAUAACCUACCUAUAAGACUGUGAUAACUUCGGGAAGCCGGAGCGGAUACCGCAGAAUAUUUUGAACCUGUUGGUUCAAGGGUCAAAGACGGUCUUUGUGUCGCUUGUAGAUGGAUCCGCGCUGCAUUAGCUAGUUGGUAAGGUAAUGGCUUACCAAGGCAACGAUGCAUAGCCGACCUGAGAGGGGGAUCGGCCACCAUAGAACUGAGACACGGUCGAGAAUCCUACGGGAGGCAGCAGUAGGGAAUAAUACGCAACGGGCGAAAGCAUGACGGAGCAACGACGCGUGGGUGAUGAAGGUCUUCGGAUCGUAAAAAUCUGUUAUUAGGGAAGAACCUAUGUGUCAGUAACUGUGCACAUCUUGACGGUACCUGAUCAGAAAGCCCCGGCUAACUACGUG
rnacentral:rRNA from 1 species